UCCUCCAGAUAUUGUUGGAUUGCAGCUCCCAUAGCCAGAUGUGUGGGAUUAUUGGAGUGUAGUCCAGCAACAUUUAGU
ensembl:miRNA aca-mir-5468 aca-mir-5468